UUAAAAGUAAAGUAUGAAAUCUUAGAAUUUGGACUUAGGACCUAAUUUGAUCUCACAACCUCAUUUAACUACCUUGAAAGGUGAGAAUUGUCCAAACUCUAUUCAAGCUGUAUCUGUUCUUGAUUUGACACUAAACACCACCUUUGAGGCUGCUGUCAUGGAGAAGUUUCAACUAAGAUGGGCUCUUGGUGACUGCAGUUUAGAUAGAUGGCUUUAUAGUAGAAGAUGAAGAGCAUUACAGUGUAAUUGUGUUGGUUGUUUGCCUGAUUUUUCAUUUUGCUGCUGUUGAAUAGUGAAGCUUCAAUUAGGAUCUUGUUACUGCUCUUUCUUAAAUCAGUUUACAUGUUACUGCUAUUUUAUUACUUACUUUCUUUGCUAAAUCAGGCUACUUGUUAAUGCAAUUUUGUUACGUAAAAUGUUUUGUCUCGUCUUGCAAGUGUUUCUCAUGGGAAUAAUAAUUAACUUGCUUUGCUAUAGUUUGGUGUUUAUUUUAUUCAUUUUGAUCUGUCAUGAUCAUGCUUUUGAGCCAAAUAAAUUAUUGUAUGUUUCUUUGGGAAUGUUUCUACGAUGUUUUCUAAUUUUGAUUGCUUGUGUAUCAAAACUUGUGUAUGUCCAUAUGUGCUGCUCUUUCUAAUGAUUUUCGAGGUGAUCCUCCUGGUCGUUUUCGAUUUGAAGUAGUUCGGCCAACACCGCCUUGCUGUUAUCCUUCUGAGGGAAACAUUCGUCUUAGCAUAAGUGUAUGGGACAUGGUUUAAUUUAAUAUAAGUGCUUUUGAUUUAUUUUUCGAGGUUACACAUGCACGUAACAUUCAAUUAUUAAUUCGUGCCCUCUUGUCUGCAAUAAAUAGACCAGAUAAUGUUAUUAGUUAUGUAAUCUGUACUGGAGAUGAAACAAAAUAUAUUCUUUUCAUGCAUAAUAAAUGUAAUGUGUCUACA